GACGAACGCUGGCGGCGUGCUUAACACAUGCAAGUCGAACGUGAUUUUUGUGGAAAUUCUUUCGGGAAUGGACAUGAAAUGAAAGUGGCGAACGGGUGAGUAACACGUGAGCAACCUACCUUACACAGGGGGAUAGCCGUUGGAAACGACGAUUAAUACCGCAUGAGACCACAGAAUCGCAUGAUAUAGGGGUCAAAGAUUUAUCGGUGUAAGAAGGGCUCGCGUCUGAUUAGCUAGUUGGAAGGGUAAAGGCCUACCAAGGCGACGAUCAGUAGCCGGUCUGAGAGGAUGAACGGCCACAUUGGAACUGAGACACGGUCCAAACUCCUACGGGAGGCAGCAGUGGGGAAUAUUGCACAAUGGGGGGAACCCUGAUGCAGCGACGCCGCGUGAGCGAAGAAGGUUUUCGAAUCGUAAAGCUCUGUCCUAUGAGAAGAUAAUGACGGUAGCAUAGGAGGAAGCCCCGGCUAAAUACGUG
rnacentral:rRNA from 1 species